GACGAACGCUGGCGGCGUGCCUAACACAUGCAAGUCAACUUGACUGAAGGAGCAAUCUGACAGUAGAGUGGCGCAAGGGUGCGUAACGCGUAAGUAACUUGCCCAAGGUAAGGAAUAACGUCGAGAAAUCGGCGCUAAUACCUCAUAAUGCAGCGGAUCCGCAUGGAUAUGUUGUUAAAGGUUUACCGCCUUGGGAUAGGCUUGCGUCUGAUUAGUUAGUUGGUGUGGUAACGGCACACCAAGGCUACGAUCAGUAACUGGUCUGAGAGGAUGAUCAGUCACACUGGAACUGAGACACGGUCCAGACUCCUACGGGAGGCAGCAGUGAGGAAUAUUGGGCAAUGCUCGAAAGAGUGACCCAGCAACGCCGCGUGGAGGAUGAAGGUAUUCUAUAUCGUAAACUCCUGUGAGAGCAGACGAAAGACAGAUUAUUAAUCUGGAUGACUGUAUACUCAGAGGAAGCCCCGGCUAACUACGUGCCAG
rnacentral:rRNA from 1 species